rnacentral:rRNA from 1 species
GACGAACGCUGGCGGCGUGCUUAACACAUGCAAGUCGAACGGAAAGGCCCUGCUUUUGUGGGGUGCUCGAGUGGCGAACGGGUGAGUUACACUUGAGUAACCUGCCCUUGACUUUGGGAUAACUUCAGGAAACUGGGUCUCAUACCGGAUAGGAGCUCUUGCUGCAUGGUGGGGGCUGGUAAGUUUCGGCGGUUGGGGAUGGACUCGCGGCUUAUCAGCUUGUUGGUGGGGUAGUGGCUUACCAAGGUUUUGACGGGUAGCCGGCCUGCGAGGGUGACCGGCCACAUUGGGACUGAGAUACGGCACAGACUCGUACGGGAGGCAGCGGUGGAGAAUAUUGCACAAUGGGCGGAAGCCUGAUGCAGCAACGCCGCGUGCGGGAUGACGGCCUUCGGGUUGUAAACCGCUGUCGCCUGUGACGAAGCGUGAGUGACGGUAAUGGGUAAAGAAGCACCGGCUAACUACGUG